CGGCGGCGGCGGCUAAUCCACCUUCCUGCGCCCCCACACCUCGGCCUUCGCCUCCUAUCUGCGGUGGUGGAGCUCGGCCUCCGCCUCAAGCAGCUAGCCGACGCCGCAGUGGCAGUUGGCCAUGGUGCGGCGCAUGAAGGCGCACUCGUUGAUGAGCUUGGAGUAGAGCUGGUGGCCGGUAGACGGUCCUGAGCCGGUCGAGCUUGCGCUGGUCCUCGGAGGUGAAGAGCGCCACUAUUAUUAGCUAAUAAACUUGUGCAUGUUUAGUUUAUCUCCUUCCGCUGUUUUUUCGUUGCUUUCUAUUUUUCAGUUAGGGUGCACAGCUGCGUUUGUGUAGUUGUGCAAGUUGAGCUUUGAUGUGCGUAGAAUCAAACACUUGUGCCCCUAUUUGUUCGAUCUCUCUCGCAUACAAACUCUUGCAGGUUUUUGCUAAAGCUGCCGGGUUUUCACUGAUAGCCACGAUUCAGGCGAGGAAGCCCCGGUCGACAUGGUUCCGGCUCGGAGCAUCCCGGCGUCCGCGGUGACGACCGCAGCGGUGAGGACGUCGUACACAAACCGGAGGUGUAGCCACGACGGGAGCAGUACCAUCACGGGCACAUCAGAAGGCAUGGCCGACACAGGACUGCCUCGAGGAGGAGCAUGGCAGAGCCCAAUGCUAGAGCAAAACCGGAUAGGAAUCGGAGGCUGAGCUCCAUCGCCGCGGAUAGGAGGCAGAGGCGUGGGGGCGCGGGAAGGCGGAUCCGCUGCCACCGACCUCUCCCUCUCGUCUUCGCGGGCAUCGGUCUGUUCCUGGACCUUGGAGAAGAGGGAGACCCCAGAGAGAGAAAAGGAUAGAGGUGGAGAAAGUGAGACUGACAU
rnacentral:lncRNA from 1 species